UUUUAGUCCUGGUUUAGUCCAGGUUUUAGUCCAGGUUUAGUCCUGGUUUAGUCCAGGUUUUAGUCCAGGUUUAGUCCUGGUUUAGUCCA